CGGACGGGUGAGUAACGCGUGAGAACCUGCCCUUGGGAGGGGGACAACAGCUGGAAACGGUUGCUAAUACCGGAUGUGCCGAAAGGUGAAAGGUUAACUGCCUGAAGAUGAGCUCGCGUCUGAUUAGCUAGUUGGUAGAGUAAAAGCCUACCAAGGCGACGAUCAGUAGCUGGUCUGAGAGGACGAUCAGCCACACUGGGACUGAGACACGGCCCAGACUCCUACGGGAGGCAGCAGUGGGGAAUUUUCCGCAAUGGGCGAAAGCCUGACGGAGCAAUACCGCGUGAGGGAGGAAGGCUCUUGGGUCGUAAACCUCUUUUCUCAGGGAAGAACACAAUGACGGUACCUGAGGAAUAAGCAUCGGCUAACUCCGUGCCAGCAGCCGCGGUAAUACGGAGGAUGCAAGCGUUAUCCGGAAUGAUUGGGCGUAAAGCGUCCGCAGGUGGCAAUGUAAGUCUGCUGUUAAAGAGUCUAGCUCAACUAGAUAAGAGCAGUGGAAACUACAUAGCUAGAGUACGUUCGGGGCAGAGGGAAUUCCUGGUGUAGCGGUGAAAUGCGUAGAGAUCAGGAAGAACACCGGUGGCGAAGGCGCUCUGCUAGGCCGUAACUGACACUGAGAGACGAAAGCUAGGGGAGCAAAUGGGAUUAGAUACCCCAGUAGUC
rnacentral:rRNA from 1 species